rnacentral:rRNA from 1 species
UACGAAGGGGGCGAGCGUUGUUCGGACUCACUGGGCGUAAAGGGCGUGUAGGCGGUUUUAUAAGGUAUAUGUGAAAGCCCUGGGCUUAACCCAGGAAUAGCAUCUAAUACUGUAAAGCUAGAGUAUGGUAGAGGUUAGGGGAAUUCCUGGUGGAGAGGUGAAAUUCGUAGAGAUCAGGAGGAACACCAGCGGCGAAAGCGGCUAACUGGGGCAAUUCUGACGCUGAGGCGCGAAAGCGUGGGGAGCAAGCAGG